GACGAACGCUGGCGGCGUGCUUAACACAUGCAAGUCGAGCGGUAAGGCCUUUCGGGGUACACGAGCGGCGCACGGGUGAGUAAUACAUCGGAACGUGUCCUUUCGUGGGGGAUAACCAGUCGAAAGAUUGGCUAAUACCGCAUGAGAUCUCACGAUGAAAGCGGGGGACCCGGAGGGUAACUUCGGGCCUCGCGCGAUUGGAGCGGCCGAUGUCGGAUUAGCUAGUUGGCGGGGUAAAAGCCCACCAAGGCGACGAUCCGUAGCUGGUUUGUAGAGAACGACCAGCCACACUGGGACUGAGACACGGCCCAGACUCCUACGGGAGGCAGCAGUGGGGAAUUUUGGACAAUGGGGGCGAACCCUGAUCCAGCCAUGCCGCGUGUGUGAAGAAGGCCUCGUUGUAA
rnacentral:rRNA from 1 species